UACGAAGGGGCUAGCGUUGCUCGGAAUUACUGGGCGUAAAGGGAGCGUAGGCGGACAGUUAAGUCAGAGGUGAAAGCCCAGGGCUCAACCCUGGAAUUGCCUUUGAUACUGGAUUGUCUUGAGUAUGGGAGAGGUGUGCGGAACUCCGAGUGUAGAGGUGAAAUUCGUAGAUAUUCGGAAGAACACCAGUGGCGAAGGCGGCACACUGGCCCAUUAC
rnacentral:rRNA from 1 species